CAAUAUAAUAGGACAAUUAAUUAAUCCGUAGACCUUCAAAGUCUGAAAUAAUCUGGUGAUUUUAUAUUG